rnacentral:rRNA from 1 species
UACGCAGGGGGCAAGCGUUGUCCGGAAUCAUUGGGCGUAAAGCGCGUGUAGGCGGUCCGGUAAGUCCGCUGUGAAAGUCGGGGGCUCAACCCUCGGAUGCCGGUGGAUACUGUCGGGCUUGAGUACGGAAGAGGCGAGUGGAAUUCCUGGUGUAGCGGUGAAAUGCGCAGAUAUCAGGAGGAACACCAAUUGCGAAGGCAGCUCGCUGGGACGUUACUGACGCUGAGACGCGAAAGCGUGGGGAGCAAACAGG